AUGUUGUUGGGUUUCCUGGCCAAAGGGAGUUGGAUCUGCUGGACAUCAACAUUACAGUGGAGAGUUAAAUGUUGUUGGGUUUCCUGGCCAAAGGGAGUUGGAUCUGCUGGACAUCAACAUUACAGUGGAGAGUUAAAUGUUGUUGGGUUUCCUGGCCAAAGGGAGAUUUUCUACUGUUUUCCCUCACCUGUGAAACUGUCCCAAUUAGCAUCUUAUUUCCGAUAUAUAUAGUGUACCAUAGAGCCCUGGUCAAAAGUAGCAUGGACCACAGGAGGUUGGUGGCACCUUUUUAAUUGGGGAGGACGGGCCCUGGUCAAAAGUAGCAUGGACCACAGGAGGUUGGUGGCAGCUUUUAAUUGGGGAGGACGGGCUCGUGGUAAUGGCUGGAGCGUAAUGGUAUCUAACGUGAUUUCCACGUGUUUGAUGCCAUUAUGAGCCGUCCUCCCCUCAGCAGCCUCCACUGGUAUGGGCCCUGGUCAACAGGAGUGCACUAUAUAGGAAAUAGGGUGUCAUUUCAGAUAUAGGAAACAGGGUGUCAUUGCUUCUCCAGUGAUGGGGUGGAUCUUUUCAGGUGUGAACUCGAAUUGCAAUCAAUCAGGACCCAAACAAAGGAAGCUGUUCCUAAGUUCUGUAGCUGUGUGCAGUAUGUUGACUAGGGUCAUGUUCAUUUGGCACAAAACGUUAGAAAGCACUCAAACGAGGGAGUUGGAGGUACUAUCUGUACUAAUCCAAUAAGACACUUAUCUUCUGUUGCAAAACGUUUUGCUACAGUGCGCCUCAGUGAACAUGACCCAGGUUUGUGUGUAUAUAAUAUAUAUGUCACUUCAGGAAAAAGGAGCAACAUUUUGCUCUAGCGAACCCAGAUAAGAAAAACAGGACUUUUGUUCACCAACAUCCUAAAACCAGCUGGACGUUGGAAUUUAGUAAUCAAGGAGUCAUAGAAAAUGUUUUCUAUUUAAAAGAAUAAAGAUGUUUUGUACUAUUACCAUUAACGUCUCAUAUGGUUUUAAUUGAAUGGAUACGGUUCUAACACUACUGGUCACGUUCUCAUGGAUACGGUUCUAACACUACUGGUCACGUUCUCAUGGAUACGGUUCUAACACUACUGGUCACGUUCUCAUGGAUACGGUUCUAACACUACUGGUCACGUUCUCAUGGAUACGGUUCUAACACUACUGGUCACGUUCUCAUGGAUACGGUUCUAACACUACUGGUCACGUUCUCAUGGAUACGGUUCUAACACUACUGGUCACGUUCUCAUGGAUACGGUUCUAACACUACUGGUCACGUUCUCAUGGAUACGGUUCUAACACUACUGGUCACGUUCUCAUGGAUACGGUUCUAACACUACUGGUCACGUUCUCAUGGAUACGGUUCUAACACUACUGGUCANNNNNNNNNNUAUAUAUGUCACUUCAGGAAAAAGGAGCAACAUUUUGCUCUAGCGAACCCAGAUAAGAAAAACAGGACUUUUGUUCACCAACAUCCUAAAACCAGCUGGACGUUGGAAUUUAGUAAUCAAGGAGUCAUAGAAAAUGUUUUCUAUUUAAAAGAAUAAAGAUGUUUUGUACUAUUACCAUUAACGUCUCAUAUGGUUUUAAUUGAAUGGAUACGGUUCUAACACUACUGGUCACGUUCUCAUGGAUACGGUUCUAACACUACUG
rnacentral:lncRNA from 13 species